ACUUCAUAGGAAUGCAUUGAAUGAAAUCAGAGUUGAGAAACACUCAAAAAUGCCUCUUCUCCCAACUCAUCAUAUACCACAAAAGGAAAGGCUUUUAUAUACUCUUUUCCCAAGCUCAACAAAAAAAAAAACAACAUUAAUAAUAAGUUGAAAAGAAAAUGAACUAAUAAUAUGUAAUUAAUUUGAUAAGAAAAUACUCGGUCUACCUUUCACACCCAAACUAACUUUAGAAUUAUGACAAAGAGAAAAGCAAUACAAGCGCCAGUGACAUAGUUGGUACCAAAAUCAGUUUUUCCUUUUUUCCAGCCAAAGGAUGGAUCAUGGAGAUGGUUGCUUUUGAAAAGUUAACCAUUUCGAAUCGCGAUUUCCUUGGCCUCUUAAGACCCGCAACAAGAUGAUUUUUGUGCGGCUUGGGCAGAACCCCCUGCCUGAUCCGGUUGGUUAAUUUUGAUUGUCUGUGGCUGCAACCAUUCAAUAACAGUAUCUAAGUCUAGCAACUAAUACAUGGUUUAAUUUGAAAAAUGAAAAGCAUUCCGAUUGCACAUACCUCGGCCCUCGAGUCGGUAUCGGCAAGUCUUUGCUUGAUAUCCCUAGCUAUUGAAAAGAAAACCUCCUCCACGUUUAAAUUUGUUUUAGCA